GUUAUAUGGUCAAGUGAAGAAGCGCAUACGGUGGAUGCCUUGGCAGUCAGAGGCGAUGAAAGACGUGGUAGCCUGCGAAAAGCUUCGGGGAGUCGGCAAACAGACUUUGAUCCGGAGAUGUCUGAAUGGGGGAACCCAGCCAUCAUAAGAUGGUUAUCUUGUACUGAAUACAU
rnacentral:rRNA from 1 species